rnacentral:rRNA from 1 species
CCUACGGGGGGCAGCAGUGGGGAAUAUUGGACAAUGGGGGGAACCCUGAUCCAGCCAUGCCGCGUGUGUGAAGAAGGCCCUCGGGUUGUAAAGCACUUUCAGUGAGGAAGAACGCCUGGUGGUUAAUACCCAUCAGGAAAGACAUCACUCACAGAAGAAGCACCGGCUAACUCCGUGCCAGCAGCCGCGGUAAUACGGAGGGUGCGAGCGUUAAUCGGAAUUACUGGGCGUAAAGCGCGCGUAGGUGGCUUGAUAAGCCGGUUGUGAAAGCCCCGGGCUCAACCUGGGAACGGCAUCCGGAACUGUCAAGCUCGAGUGCAGGAGAGGAAGGUAGAAUUCCCGGUGUAGCGGUGAAAUGCGUAGAGAUCGGGAGGAAUACCAGUGGCGAAGGCGGCCUUCUGGACUGACACUGACACUGAGGUGCGAAAGCGUGGGUAGCAAACAGGAUUAGCUACCCUGGUAGUC